UUUUUAGUGUAAGCAAGUCCCGUGCAACAUUUGGGACAUACUUAUACUAAAA
rnacentral:pre_miRNA from 1 species